rnacentral:lncRNA from 1 species
GCCAGAAUGGUAUGGCCUCAAGUUCAUCGUAUUGUAGAAUAUUCGCUCGAAUAUGGAUUCCUCCGACUAACCACCACAACCAGAGAAAAAUUAAAUAUUCCAGUCAAAGUCAUCACCCUUGAUCCAAAUCGUGAUAAAUGUUUCGGAGGGCGAUUCAGUCGAUUCCUGUUGAAAUAUUUCUUAGGAUAUGAUGACAUUUUGAUGGGCAGCUUAAAAGCUCUAGCGGAAAAGCAAGAUAAUAAAGGUUAUGUUCGAAAUGUAGUCACUGGAGAACAUUAUCGAUUUGUAAAUAUUUGGAUGACUAGAACUG